rnacentral:rRNA from 1 species
CAUGUAGGUGGAUACUUAAGUCUGUUGUGAAAAUGCGGGGCUCAACCCCGUAUUGCGAUGGAAACUGGGUGUCUUGAGUGCAGGAGAGGAAAGGGGAAUUCCCAGUGUAGCGGUGAAAUGCGUAGAUAUUGGGAGGAACACCAGUGGCGAAGGCGGCUUUCUGGACUGUAACUGACGUUGAGGCUCGAAAGUGUGGGUAGCAAACA